rnacentral:rRNA from 1 species
GACGAACGCUGGCGGCGUGCUUAACACAUGCAAGUCGAACGAGAAAGCCCUUCGGGGUAAGUACAGUGGCGAACGGGUGAGUAACACGUGGGCAACCUGCCCCAGAGAGCGGGACAACCCGGGGAAACCCGGGCUAAUACCGCAUGAUGCGUCUCCACUUAAGUGGAGCCGCCAAAUGGUAGCUUCGGCCUCCGCUCUGGGAUGGGCCCGCGCCGGAUUAGCUAGUUGGUUGGGGUAACGGCCCACCAAGGCGACGAUCCGUAGCUGGUCUGAGAGGACGAUCAGCCACACUGGGACUGAGACACGGCCCAGACUCCUACGGGAGGCAGCAGUGGGGAAUCUUGCGCAAUGGGCGAAAGCCUGACGCAGCAACGCCGCGUGGGGGAAGAAGGCCUUCGGGUUGUAAACCUCUUUCAGUAGGGACGAAGCUUCCGGGGUUAAUAGCCUACGGGGUGACGGUACCUACAGAAGAAGCCCCGGCUAACCACGUGCCAGCCGCCGCAGUAA